UUCAUAACAGGCCAAUCUCCACAUUUUUUAAAACCUAUUUUUAUCCUCUGAAGGCUGGCUGAGCGUGAACUGAACGCUCUGCUUCAUCCUCAUACGAUCCCACACAUUCACACCCGCUCAGAACAACCAGUCUGUUGCUGCAAAGCUGCAAAGAUCUGAUGAGAGCCCAGAGUCAUGCUGUAAGUUUGUGACAGAAGUUUUUUCCAUUUCCGUUCUGUGCUCUGUAGUCUGGGUUUCAACCCUUUGUUCAACUCUGUUCUCGUGAAUAAUUUUUAGCGUCAGGCAGAGCAGUUGGUAAUGAAAUAAACUGCAUGUUUAAGCCUCAUUUGAUGAAUUUUGCAGAUGAAGAGGAAGGAUACUACUGCAAAAAGACACUUUUUUUUUUUGCAGUGCGCGAGCCAGAGAGGGUGGGACUGGGAGACUAUCUGGGUCAGCGCUCCCUUCGUGUCGCUGCUGCCUCUCUACAAACCCCCUCCAGCUUUGUGUGUGUAUGUGUGUGUGUGUGCAUGCACGUGUGGGUUGGGAGGGGGGAGGGUGGGACUACCCCAGUCAGCCGCUGCGUUCAUGCCCUCACUUCGUUCCCAUGCAUGCUCGCAUAUGCGCACAUCUUUCACUUGUGGUUAUGGGUUUCUUGAAGAAGUUCUCAAGAAGAAACCCAUUCACAGGCACCUGGACAGAAUAUCUGCACAGAAAAUAACUAGGUUUCCAUUUUUCUUUCUGUAUUCAACUGCUGCUGCGGAUUCCUGUCAUUUUACAAUACUAAAAGAGGAAAAUAAAUAACCAAACGAGACAAAAGGAUUUGCCCAAGCCUAAUAACGGCUUUUUUUUCAUUCCACUGGGGGUUCAAUAUAAGUUCACAGCACUGCUAAACAUCCUGCAAUACAAUUCACAGAUGAAACAAUGUCACAGUUUAUCAUCAACCUAAACGUUUAUGCAGCCAAAUCUCAUAGUCAGUAAGAUUUUAUCAUCCUCUGGUUUGCUUAUCCACAAAUCAAAAGAGGCAGAAGUGAACAGGUGGAACUAGAGUUCCAGGUUGAUUAUUCAUUGACUAGUAAUGGGGAGUGUUGGUGUAAAAAAAUGCUUCUCUUUCACAAAUGCCCUUUGCUGGUUUGGUUGGCUUAUAUUUUUGUUCACGGUGCUCCAAGAUAGUGUGACUUUAAUUUGAAUGAAAAGCCUCAGCACCUCUCAGUUUAAGAACAAAAUUCAAACUGGAGACGGUGAAGCUGGCAAUGUCGCAAGAGAUGUUGGAUUUCUUCAAGCUAUUGGAGGAAUCUAACGGUUGAAACAGACUUCAGAGUUUUAUCAAGUCAAGUGGAGUAACGGUUUCAGACAACCACCAGCUGAGACUCCAGUUCAAAAGCCCGACCUCACAACGAUGAAGUCACAGGGAAAAAGGUGAGGGGAAACCAUGGCGUACAGAUGACCUGGGUCUGAUUUGGUUUCAUUUCUAUUUUCUGCUGAAUCCCUUAUCAUUUUUAUGAGAAAGCCUGCAUGUGUGUAGCUUUUACCCAGAAGAAAAAACAAGCAAAAAAAAAAAACUGAUUAUCUUCCUCCUCUCUUGGAACUGACACACCCACCAUCCUCUCUCCUCUUCCUCUCGCCCCUUUCUUUCCCCUCUUUUCACUUUUUCUUUGUGGCCGCCUUGGCAGCGCCGCCGCGGUUGCCACAGAGACAGGAUUCUUCACCCCCCCGGUGAAUGACUGUGCCGCGGUUGGUGGGCACGGGGGGAGUCGCUCUGCUCCACCACCAACAUCAUCACCAUCACCAGCCCUGCAUCCAGGCUUAAUCUAAGGUGACACGGCCACUGUCCUCACGCAAACACACAAGGCACACACACACACACACACACACACACACACCCGCAAGCGUGACAACACCGGCAUGCAGCAAACACUCGCAGCAAGAGGAAAGUGUGUCCCGUACAUUUAACAAACCCCUUCUGUCCGCCACUACCGCGCUCAUUCACGUAACUUACAUCCCACGUCUCCACUGGAAGCGGAUCACAUUCAGACCUACUCAGGCCUCCGUAGUGAACACACUUACUCACUUCCUUUCCUUUGAACAUCUAGUGCCAACGUGUCUCCGCUCCCUUUUCAAAACCAAACUUUAAAGUCAGAGCUCUAAAUCCUUGUUCUCUUCGACUGUAAAUCAGAAGUUAUGUUUACUGACAUCAUUUCAUUAAACAAAUUAAAGAAGACAGUUAGGUGAUUAAAGAGAUUAGGAAAAGAAGCAAAAUAGUUUAGAACCAAGACCUUAGUAUGAAACCUGUAGUCUAACAAUUUUAAACAAUUUAAUCAGAAUUUAUUUUCAUUAUUUCAUUCAUUUGAGGAUUGUCUGCUGUGUUUUGGAUCACUACUCUGCUGUGAUUCAGUUCAGGUCAAGUUUCUUGUACAGAGGAGUCCGUGGUCAACUAAUAGAGCUGCCAUCUAUAUUUUUAAUGUGUAUUUUGAAGAAUCACAUUACAAAAGGUUGAUGGGAGACAAAACAUUUGAAAUAAAUUAUUUAAUUUUGCAAAAUUAAAAUAAAAAGAAAAGGCUUUGGCUCUCACUUCAGGUAGUUUUGGACUCGUUAAUCAUUUUCUGGUCUGGUCAUGACCUUAAAAAGUUACCAGGAAAACCGAAAGCUGUAGAGUCUGACACGGUGUCCUUGUUUUGUUUAAAGGUAAAUUUCCUGGGAAGUCCAAUUAUGAGAAUAUUGACAGUUUUUUAAAAUAUUUUUGACCUGCAAGAAAGUAACUCAGUUUUCACAUAUAGUUUUUCAGCUUUUGCUUUGUUUUUCUUUAAUACCUGAUUAUGUUUUGAAAUAUUUAGUGGUCAAUUUAAGAUUUCAUGGAAAUGCUAAGUGUUGUACUGCAACCAAAAUCUAGACAUCCACUUUUAGAACAGCUUCAUUAGAAACAAACAAAUUAAAAGUCAAAUCUUCUUUUAUGAUAUUUUUGAACAUAACACUGUUUGAUCGGAUUUUACGGCCACACAUUUUGAGACAGUCUCAUUCCCAUAGAUUUCCAAUCCAUCUUUACGCUGAUAUCAUCUCCAGAGUCAGGAUGUGAACGUGUGUGUGUGUUUAUACACAAGUAAACACACACACUUCAUCAGCCUUGUGAUGCCUCUGAGUCCUCUGGAAGUACAACAUGCUGGUAGUAAACCUCCAGCCUUCUGGCAUGCGUUCACUUGCACUAAGUGGCAUUUAUGAUUAAAAUAUUCUGUGUUUAGAGUUUAUGAUUUCAACUGAAAGGCAAAACAGAACAGAACAAGAUAUAAUCAAUGAAGAAAACGACGUGCUGCAAUAUUUUUAGCCAGACAUUAUACACAAAAGGAUAUAAGCCACUAAAAUAUUUGAAUGACAGCUUAUUAAUUUGACCCCCAGUGAGACAGUGAACAGCAGCAAAUAAAAAGAUGGACGCAAAACUCAUUAAGAAAAAAGAUAAGAGUGGAAAAUAAAAAGUAGAGCAAUUCAAACAUGAAUAGGUGUAUUAUUACAGCUAUGAGCUUUCAGGAGCAGAAGCCCACAUGACAAAUCCUCUUGACCUUUCAUGAACUUCACACGAACUUCAACUCUACUUCCUGCGAUUUGCUGACAUCAGAAGAGACUGGGCGUGUUUUCCAAACGGCCACCACCACGCCUGCGUACACGAACAACGCUGACAGAUGCCUCCAUCAGGCACAUGGGAAAAGUUUUCCAAGAGGUGCCGUGAGCAAAUACAGAUCUGAUCUUCUCUCUAAAUAGACCUGGAGUAAAAACAUCCUUAAUCAAAGCCUGGAGCAUUUUUAUUACUGUGGUUUGUUAGAUAAAUUCAUGUUACAGUAUAGAUUUUACAACCCCAGUAUAGAAGACUAUUAAACACACAAACUACGAUAGUUAUCUCUCUAAGUGAUCCGUAAAUGGCAAAAAAAUGUCCUUGUUUGAAGAAACACUUCAUGGCAGUAUAAACUUGUGCAUUUCAAACUUCCUGUGUUGCAAUGCGAACACUGGCUUGGACAUAAACAGGAACAAGAGAGACUUAACUUCAACUAUUAUUGUUUUUCCUUAUUUAUAACAAAAAAAAAGCCAAAUGGAUCCUAAAGGGUCUCAAAACAAAAAAACAAAAAAAGUUUUGAACUGUUACUUUUUGAAAUUCCUGUAGUAGAACAGUAGUCCUAAUAUUAUGGCUUGGCCAAUAGAGAUUUAGUUUCUAGUAAGUAUGUGUUUUUGGGGGUGCCUUUUUUAUUACUGAAAAAAACAGAUGGAUCAUUAAGUAAUGUUUGGGAAACGACUCAUUGGAUCUUUAAACGAAUGCUGUGGUAACUUUGAGUAGCAGGAGUGCUUACAUUAGCUUGGAAAUAAAACGAGAGAUUUAGUUUCAAAUUAGAUUGUUGUUAUUUUGGGCUUUCAUUAAUAGUAAAAAAAAAAAAAAAAAAAAAAAUCAACAAAUGAAUAGUUAUAUAACCUUUUAAAUAAUGCCUUACCAAAGCUUUGAACUGAUACUAGUCUGUGUAUAGCAGCUAACUGCGCUGCAGCGCUAACGUUGACUUGUUCAAAAAGAAAUUUGGUUAUAGUUUGGACAUUUUGGACAUCUGUGAUUCUAUAUUACGGCACUCCAAAAGCUGACACUUUUGUUCACAAUAUACCACUUACUAUAGCAAUAAUCAAUGUUAAGUUAGUAAGCUAACGACAAAAAAAAUUCCUACAAAAUUUCUACAUUUUGUAAAGUCCUGUAAAAAUAAUUUUUCUUUUCAAUCCACAACAAACGAUUUGUAAAACAAGGAUUUAAAUGACAGUUAAAGGAAAACUUGAAGUCUCAUUUUGUUUACACCAUCUCAUAAGACAAUGAACAAUAACCUAGGUAGACUUUCUGUCAUCUCAUCGUCUGGCUAAUACUUCUUUCACAACCACAAUUGCUUUGCUUUUUUUUAUUGCUACCAGAAUGGACGUCAGUAACUUUAAUUAAAUAUCAUUGUCUGCUACUGUUUUUCAGACUGGAGCUUUUCCAUUACCUUUUUUGGCUCUUUUAAACCAUUAUAUGUUUUAUCAAAACAUUAAAACAGAUUUACAGAUACAACUGUUGACAUUUUGUAUUCAUAUGCACGCUUAUAUUGAUUUUUUGAAACCUCAUAAACAUAACUUUUUUAUUUCUAUGUUUAACAUGCAUAGGAUGGAUGGAAUGGCACAUAGUUCAGAUUGUUUCGCAAUAUUUGCCCUCAGGGUAUAAAGCUGCUCCAACGCAACCAAUUCCAGGGAAUAAAUUGUCUCGGUAGUUUCUGCGGAAGCCUGUUAAAAGCCUAUAAAAGUUUAAACUAAGUGCUGGUUUUACUGCAAGGUACCACAACUAAAAAAAAAGUAUAUUCAUGAUGAGACCAAUUUUUAUGCAAUAUGAUUCAUAGUGCGACUCCGGCGGGGUCUUAAGAUCUUGUUUGUGUUUUGUUUCUUUUCCUGCUGGUUGGAGAGAGUGGCUUUAUGGACUACUCAUUCCCCCCAGAAACCCAGAAAUGGAGGGAAUUGCUAUAGCAACCACUAAUGCAACAUCUGUCAUCAAGUAAGUUCUAACUUCUUUAAAAGGGCGAACUGAAGAAAUAUCCAAAAUGUUUUCCAAAUAACACUUUAAAAAUGUGACACCACCUAUUAUUUUCUAUGCAUUUUUUAUGUAAACACACAUUAUAUCAGGUAGCUCCACUGGGAAGUUUGCAUCUUUUCUGUAGAAUCAACAGACUGUAAAUGUUAUGAUGCCAAAAUCAUAAAAUAUACAAGGAUGAUUAGCACAUCAAGGCAGACUGAGUUAAACUGUCACUUAAACAUGCAGUCAACACAGAUGGCCACUGGGCAGGCCAAGCUGUUCCCAGGGAAAUUGGUUAGGUGUGUGUUGGUGUGUGUAUGGGUUCUUACACACACACGCUUCAGGGUUUUUUGUUUUUUUCCUAAUUUCUGUUCCUCCAAUUCUCCAGAUUUCUACCAUUGACUACUUCUUCAAUUGUUUAUUGUGGACAGAGCAGUUAAAGAUGAAGAAAAGAAAGGAAAGUUUUUGACUCAACAUCUGUGAAAAUUUACCACCAAGAUAGAACAGAGUUAUUAUUGAGAUGAAAUCAGAGAAAAUUAACUAAUGUUCUUAAUAUGUUGGGGGGAUUCAGCAAAUGGCCAUUCUUAGAGUUUGUAACGAUUAGAAAAACUAAACUAAAUUAGCUGCUGACUAUUUCAAUCUGAUCAUCAUGAUUAAUCAUUUGACAAGCAUCUACAAUUUCCACAAACUCAGAUAAGACAGGUGGCUGAAGGUUUACUCACACUUUACCUUAAUUAUGUACAGAUCAUAUGAGAUUUUAUAAGAUCGCAUAAUCAAACUACUUUGUCUUAUGAAGUACUUUGUUAGUACCUUUAAAUCGAAUGGGGGGUGUUAUGUUUUGACCUGACAACGAAGACUUCAAGAAGUCAUUUUCUAACAUUACUUGCCAAGGUCACUUUGACAAUUAUGUAACAGAUCUAUUCCAAAGUCAGAGUGAUACAAAACUUAACCAAUGAGUGUUAAAUCAGCCGUUCUGCAACAACUAUGCAAACCAAUUCUCCUCCAACACCUAAUUUUUUUUAUUUUAUUUUAUUUUUUUUCUGCAGGAUAUUUUGGCUAACAUUGUCAUCUUUUGUACCUUGAUUAAUGAUUAGUCAACCAAUGAAAGCAAGCUUGCAUUUAGUGGAAAUUCGAUUCAUCUCAGUGUCACCUCCAGAUGGUGUGAAUGUGGAGAAUGUACUAGUGGUGGAAAACAUGGAGGAGGAGGAGGAGGAGGAGGAGGUGAAGGAAAAAGAAGAGGAGGAAUGACAAAGCUGCAGUAAGCUCCUCAUCCUUGUACUGCGGCAGCCUGAGCCUCCUGUAACAGAGUCAGAUCACGACAUAAAGGGGAGUCCCUGAUCCCUUCAUAACUGGUUACAAGUCCAACCAGUGUGAAACCAGUUUCUCUGCCAGAUCAUGACUUUAAAUCUACCUUUAAGUCUCUCUUCCACUCUCCAUCCCAGGCUCAAAUCUACUUUAAGUUGGUAUAGAGUUUGGAAAUCUCUGCAGAUCAGCAGCUCUGUGUGAAUCUUGGGUCUACAGCAGCUCUGCUGGUGUCUCAAACAUUUCAAUCCUGAGCCUGGACCUGGUGAGUGAGCUUCAAUUUUUGGUAUCAUGACGAAAGAAUUGGUCUCCUCUGCUCUGCUCUGCCUUCGUCAUAUAAACAGAGAUGUGUCUCUAUAAAUAGAGCUAAAGCCCCGAAGCAGUCCGGCCUGAGCAAGACAACCCAGUGAACAGAGGGGAAAAAAGCAAUAGAGAGAAACCAACAACUCUACUUUGCUUUACCGACUGAGUCUAAGGCAAAACAAAAAGACCUGCUCUGCAUCACUUCUGUGAUUCAGCCACCAAACGGCACAACCAAAAAAACAACAACAACAACAACAUCUACCGAGGCGAUUGCUCAGAUGCAAACACUCUGUUUCCCACAUCAUUUUUCUCUUCUUUUUUUUUUUUUUUUUUUUUUUUAACUCACUCUCAUUUAUCUCCUCUGACCCCCAAACGCAACCAGACAAGCAGCCAUCUGGCCAAAAGACCAGUCAUCCACUCACUCAUCUGGGUUGGUUCACCAUCAGAUGUGAUUCGAGCAAUGAAACAAGUCUGUGCACGAGGACGCCGAGCAGGAACCGGAGAGAACUUGAAGCACAUUGCUCCGAACUGCUGCUCAUGCUGAUGAUUAAGGAACUGAAACUGGCUGUACACGACAGCACCACUGGAAACAGAAAAAUCCAACAAGCCCAAAUAUUCCCUCACCACCUGGAGAACAUAUACAUUUUUUUUAGGGAACUCCGACAUCCUACAUUCAUUCAGAUUAAAAUGUGAAUCAUCAAGCGUCUCUUCAAGUAACGCCAUCUUUAAAAGUAUUUAAAAAUUCACUAACCAAACCAGCUAAGCAUGCCAGUUUGGCUGCAAUUUGAUCCAAAUGCCGACCAGCAGUGGGUCCAUCCAGGAUUUGAUCAAUUACAUCAAAGACCUGGCAUGCCUAGAGUAGCUGCAGCAUCUGAUAGGCAGUCAAAAAAAAUAUCAGCAGAUUUAUAAGCACCAUCAGCAGCAGUGUUUAAAAGCUGAAAAUAGCAACUUUGAACACAGCCAUGAGCUACAUCUACCACAUGGUGAGCAGAAACAACAAAACCUUAGUGAAAAAUAAUAAAAAAGUUACUGAUAACCUUUAUAUUAAAUAAAAACUCCUUUGAAAAAGCCUUUUGCAGUUUAUUAAGGACAAUAAAAGGAAAAUCAUGCCAGGUUUUCCUCCCAGUUUGGACAAAAGUAUUUCUUCUUGGCACCAAAAUGAACAUUUUGUUUUGAAGCAAGAUCUUUGACAGUUUAAGCAGAACCAACAGAGUUCCUAUCUGACUCCAGAUGGAGGCGCUUGCACUGCAGACGUCGCUGCAAUGCUUGAAAACAGCAGACAAGUUUAUGGAUUUGAAGUUAAAAUACAUUAAAACUAACUCAAUCUGUGUAUAAGGACAAAAGUUUUGAUAUCUCAGAGAUCAAUUUUGGCUCAGCAGGUUAGUGAAUCAUUACCUACUGCGCAGCAUCGCUUCCCUCCCAUUCACACAUAGCUGGACUUUGCACCACUGCAACCUUUGCUGUGGAUGUCCUGCUGAUGUCGUACGACUGACGUGUCAACGUCUCAGCUGAUCCACUGAAUGAAAAGCACAGACCAUGCUUAGAUAGGUCUUACUGGUAAAUGGACUGAACUUAUAUAGAGCUUUUCCAAUCAUUUUCCAUCACUUUACACUAGCGUCGCAGUUUUACACUAGAGCACUACAUUAACAUGUGACAGGAGGAAACUGAAAUCGAACCUACAACCUUCUGAUCACAGGACGAUUACUCUACCCACAGAGCCACAGCUAUGUUAUCAGUUACCUGCUGUGGUGGCCACUUCCCCUAAUCUAAUUUUUCUUUAUUAGUGCUUAGCAUACUUAGCUCUGUGUUACCCUGUGACAGACUGGCGGCCUGUCCAGGGUGAUCCCGCCUCUCGCCCAGAACGUUAGCUGGAGGUAGACACCAGCACCUCCUGACCCCACUAGGGACAAUGUGUUAGACAAUGGAUGGAUGGAUAUCAUACUUAGCUUCCCUUAAGUUAAUUUUAACAGAUAAAUUCUAAAUUGCUAAUUUUCUUGGCUACUUUGUAAUCAGAUGUUGAAUAAAGUUUAACAUCUGUGUAGAAGUUUUGAUUAUCGACUGUUAAGAAUUCUUCAAUAACAAAUUUGACCCUGUUGAAGAAAUGGUAGAUAUUAACAUGGUUGUAUUUAGCGCUUUAGCAUUAGCUGCUACUAAAUAGCAUUAGCUCCCGCUAACUCUGAUGUUAGCUUAGCGCUUUAGCAUCAACAAAAUGACUGAUCAUUACCAGUGCUUAUCAAGAUAGACAGAGGUGGAAACAUGAGGAGAUGGUAAAGAGUGAAGUUAGAGCUGAGGUCCACAUUAUUAUUUUGAUUUAGUUGUAGCCCCUCUGCGUGCAAAACAAUAAUUUGGAAGACAAUAUUUCAUCAUAAAGAAAUGUUUGAAACGGGUUUUCUCUAAAAUUAAAUAAAAAGACUCAACAAAACCUUUCUUACAAACCAAACUGACAUUUCUGACAAAUUAUUUUCACUGACUGGCUGUGACAGACCAGCCAUUAGGGACACAGGAAAGAAUAUAUGAGGCCUACUUUUGUCCAAAAGCUACUGGUAUGAUUGUCACUGUAAAAGCUUUGUGUAAAAAACUUAAGACACACUUGCUGCUUCCCUGGGCAGGUGCUGCUGAUCAGAUGCACUUGAUUAAUUGAUCAUCAAUGUGGCCACCUCCAUGAAAGCAGGAGUUUUCAUAGUUUGAUGCUCUGCAGCACACAUGCCAAGACAGAACGACAUCAGUCGUAAUCAAUGUGGUAGAGGAGCUACAGUUGCUGCACAUCAAUCUGGAAAAAGCAAACAUUCUGAAGAGAAUGAUAAAAUCGUACAGAAACGGCUCCUAAAGGUUAUUGCAAGUUCGAGAAACAAUAAGUAAUCUGAUGCAUUUCUGCAAAGUUAAUCUAGAAAAUCCGGCAAAAAACUGAGGAUUUUUCAUUUGUCACAACAUAUAAAAGCAGGGCACAGGAAUCAAAAGUUGGUGCAAUUUCACUUGCAUAUUUCAACCAACAACUAUGUAAACAAGUGGCUGCGUUGCUGCCAAGUGACAGGUGUCUUCCAGUGCAACUACAGUUCACAACAGCCUGAACCGCAGCAGCUGAACCGCAGCAGCUGUACUUCUGCAGCGCUCAAUAAGAGGAAACCGUCUGCCAUGCAGGAUGUGGGACAAUAUUUAUUUUUGCAGUUUGUUCAGAAAAAAAAAGUGACAAGUCUACAAUAAGCAUUCUGUCAGACCAAGAAGACCUUUGUGUUACAAAGCAACAAAAGGGGUAACGUCAUAGGGCACAUGAGUAAAACAGCUGCAGUUACGCUGCAUUUUUGCUCUCAGUGCACAAUUUAAAAAUGCACAAAAAAAAAACUGCUGAUGCGGUUCAACGGCGGUUAUUGUAAAUAAAGCAGAUUUACAAUAUUUGCAUGCAUGUCCACAGGCUGAGUUUAGGUGCAAGUAAUAAAAGUCGGGUUAAUUUCUAUAAAGCAGAAUUAACUUUGCUUUUCGCAGGUUCAGAGUUUCAGCCUUGUGAUCUUCAAUCACCAAGCUGCAGGCAGAUCUAUCGGUUUCCACUUUGUGCUACAAAACUUUCAUUCACCGAAGCAGUCUCAUGUUUACCCCGGAGUCCAGAGUUUCUUUCUCAAUUCACACAGAUUUUACAUAAAAGAAACUCGAGCCACACUUAAUCUGACGCAGAGAAUGCUAAAACGUUCAAAAGCAGUCAUUUGUCAUGGAAAAAAAUUACUUUAAGAAGAGUCUGGAUGAGAAGAAAUAAGAAAUGUAUUAAAACCUUGCAAGGUGAGAACAGAAAUGCAGAGUCAAAGGAGUCUGUCAAGUCUGCUCUGACUAACAGCGGAUUCUGGCUUCCUUUUAUAUUUGCUGGUCAGCAGAUCACACAGUAGCAGGGUGUCACCGUCUCUGGGUGUUUCCCAACAGAGAGAAGAGAGACUUGAUUGGAUUAUAGGUGUGACUCCUUGAUUGUUAUGCGCCAAGGAUUCUGUGGAGCCAACACCGAUGGUCUUGCCAUUUGUCUAUGGGGCUGUUGAAAUGGGGAUUGUUACUUAAUGCAUAAAAUGCAGUCUCAAUUUUGGGUUGGGGAAAUAACACCUAGAUGGUCUCCUGGAUCACAGACAUCUCCUGCUGCUACAUGACACUGUAGAAGUCUAUAGGAGAGCAGAUCUUAUCAAUCUCUUGAUAAGAUUAUGCAGAGACAAUCUAAAGCACAAUAGGGGUGAUGGGCACAUUAAAAAAAUUUCCAUUACACAUUGCUUUAAAAAAAAAAGUUUAUAUUUGAUCAUUGAAACGUGUUGCUAUUUAAAGCAAUGUGCCAGAUACUGAAACUUCCUUUCUCUCCCCCCACCACCACUUGCGUUUUCAGCCAACAGAGAGCAACACUGCUGGGAACGUUUCAGCUCUGACUCGCAGAAAUGUUUGUAAAACUACACUUCCCCCUAGCUGCCUCAUCCCUCUCAGCCCAGCAGCUUUUUUACAGGCUUGAGUCCAGCAGAUGAAAGGUCUGAGAGAUCAGAAUAUCAGUGAGAUCAAUGACAUUAUGACCAAUAUGCAGUCAUGAACUGUAAUGGGAUGGUACUUAAACUGUGCUGAAGAAGUUAAAUGGGAAUUUGACAUGAAGUAAAAACAAUUCUACCUGAUGUGCAGGUUUGAUUUUAAAAUAAUUACUAACUUAGAUGACAAAAAAAAAAUUACAACUACGCUCCAUAGUACAUGAUUUAAAUAAUUUUGCAAAGAGAAUUUGUAAA